UAAUACGAAGGUCCCAAGCGUUAUCCGGAUUUAUUGGGUUUAAAGGGUGCGUAGGCGGCUUAUUAAGUCAGUGGUGAAAGCCCCAAGCUUAACUUGGGAACUGCCAUUGAUACUGAUGAGCUUGAGUAGAUUUGAGGCGGGCGGAAUGUGUCGUGUAGCGGUGAAAUGCUUAGAUAUGACACAGAACACCAAUUGCGUAGGCAGCUCGCUAAACUCUUACUGACGCUGAGGCACGAAAGCAUGGGGAUCAAACAGGAUUAGAUACCCUGGUAGUCCAUGCCCUAAACGAUGAUUACUCGAUGUGUGCGAUACACUGUACGCGUCUGAGCGAAAGCAUUAAGUAAUCCACCUGGGGAGUACGGUCGCAAGACUG
rnacentral:rRNA from 1 species